UGUAAGCUGUGUAUGUGUUGAACUUUCCUAAAUCAUAACCUCCACAAAUCAAACCCCAUUUCGAUAUAUUGUUUCCAAUCAUUGCUUCAAGCAGUCAAUGGAAGGAGAAAAUAAAGAAGGGAACUUGAAGGAGAUGGAGAAGAUGAAGGAUUCUUCACCGCAAUCUGAAAGUCGAUAAACAUUCCAUUAAUGAAGGAGAAAAUAAAGCUACAAAGAUGAAUCUCUUAGUCAGAAUCACGAGGUUUCUGAUCAAGCUUCCGGAAAAAAAGGAGUGGAGCCUCCAACGGGUUUGGUUUUACAUCCGAGACCAGAUCCUUCUAAAGAUGAUAACAGUUGUCCCGAGCGUUGUAUGGAUAAGUGCAAGCGUUGUAUGGAGCGUUGUAUGGAUAAGUGUUGUAUUUUGUGAAUCUCUCCGUCUUCAAGUUAUAGUUUAUAUUACUAAAUUGCUGCACAUUGUCCUCUUAUCUUCAAUUCUCCGUUAAUAUAUCUUCUUAUAGUUUUUUUUUA